UGACUCUGCCACUCUGCUCUUGCCGG
rnacentral:piRNA from 1 species